rnacentral:rRNA from 1 species
GACGAACCGUGCGAACGUUAUUCGGAAUCACUGGGCUUAAAGCGCGUGUAGGCGGGCCGGCACGUCCGAGGCUGAAAUCCCCCGGCUCAACCGGGGAAGGGGCGCGGAUACGACCGGCCUGGAGGGGGGUAGGGGGGCCUGGAACUUCCGGUGGAGCGGUGAAAUGCGUUGAGAUCGGAAGGAACGCCCGUGGCGAAAGCGAGGCCCUGGACCCUUUCUGACGCUGAGACGCGAAAGCCAGGGGAGCGAACGGG